rnacentral:lncRNA from 1 species
GGGUUGCCCUAGAAACAGCUUCACAAAGUUCUCCUCGAAGUUCUCAAAUAGAUACCAUUUGAUCUGUUCUCUCCCUCCCUUUCCUGAUCCGACACCGCCAUCCUCUCAACACACGUGCACUGGACAAUAUGGUCUACUAGAGGCAGGUUUCUGCAGAGCCCCAGUCUCAUUUCAACCCCGUCCUACAUAUCACCGCUGAAUCCAGGCCUUCUGGUACCUCCUGUAUCGUCCCUGAACCUUCCAGCCCCACCCUAAACUCUCUCUUCCUUUUCAUUUGGAUUUCUCUAGCUCUCUAACCGUGUCACCCAGUCACCCAGACUCUGAAGCUCAGGUUAUUGGCUGCCUGGCCCUCCAGACCUUCUGGCCUGUUCAUCAGACUGACCUUCCCCUCAACCCCCUUCCUGUCUGAUUUGUCCUCCCUGACGACCUCUAGACGGCACCUACUUCGGUGGCAGGAUAUGGUUACAGACUGUUGGAUUCCACUCACUGCCCACCUCUUG